CCAAGGUGAGAAACUUGGUCGAGCGAAACCUCUAUCCGUCAACUCUUGCAACUAAGCUUUCAACUCUUUUAACUCGGUUGGUGCCAUACGAUACGGAGCUAUCGAAAUCGGCGUAGUCCCAGGCACAAGCUCAAUACCAAACUCUACCUCCCGAACAGGUGGUAAACCCGGUAAUUCUUCGGGAAAAACAUCCAGGUAUUCACAAACCACCGG
rnacentral:lncRNA from 1 species